CACACUGGACUGAGACACGUCCAGACUCUACGGGAGGCAGCAGUGGGAAUAUGCACAAUGGCGCAAGCUGAUGCAGCCAUGCCGCGUGUAUGAAGAAGGCUUCGGGUUGUAAAGUACUUUCAGUCGUGAGGAAGGCGUCGUCGUUAAUAGCUGCGUCGUUUGACGUUAGCGACAGAAGAAGCACCGGCUAACUCCGUGCCAGCAGCCGCGGUAAUACGGAGGGUGCGAGCGUUAAUCGGAAUUACUGGGCGUAAAGCGCAUGCAGGUGGUUUGUUAAGUCAGAUGUGAAAGCCCGGGGCUCAACCUCGGAAUAGCAUUUGAAACUGGCAGACUAGAGUACUGUAGAGGGGGGUAGAAUUUCAGGUGUAGCGGUGAAAUGCGUAGAGAUCUGAAGGAAUACCGGUGGCGAAGGCGGCCCCCUGGACAGAUACUGACACUCAGAUGCGAAAGCGUGGGGAGCAAACAGGAUUAGAUACCCUGGUAGUCCACGCCGUAAACGAUGUCUACUUGGAAGGUUGUGGCCUUGAGCCGUGGCUUUCGGAGCUAACGCGUUAAGUAGACCGCCUGGGGAGUACGGUCGCAAGAUUAAAACUCAAAUGAAUUGACGGGGGCCCGCACAAGCGGUGGAGCAUGGUGGUUUAAUUCGAUGCAACGCGAAGAACCUUACCUACUCUUGACAUCCAGAGAACUUUCCAGAGAUGGAUUGGUGCCUUCGGGAACUCUGAGACAGGUGCUGCAUGGCUGUCGUCAGCUCGUGUUGUGAAAUGUUGGGUUAAGUCCCGCAACGAGCGCAACCCUUAUCCUUGUUUGCCAGCGAGUAAUGUCGGGAACUCCAGGGAGACUGCCGGUGAUAAACCGGAGGAAGGUG
rnacentral:rRNA from 1 species